GACAGAGGGUGCAAACGUUGUUCGGAAUUACUGGGCGUAAAGCGAGUGUAGGCGGUGUGGUAAGUCGGAUGUGAAAUCCCUGGGCUCAACCCAGGGCCUGCAUCGGAAACUGUCGGGCUUGAGUAUGGGAGAGGUGAGUGGAAUUUCCGGUGUAGCGGUGAAAUGCGUAGAUAUCGGAAGGAACACCUGUGGCGAAAGCGGCUCACUGGACCAUUACUGACGCUGAGGCACGAAAGCUAGGGGAGCAAACAGG
rnacentral:rRNA from 1 species